AAAAUGAAAUACAGGACGACGUCGUCAGCUUCCUAUUCGUUGGAAACGUUAUCAUCAUUUGCCCCCAAUCCUUUUGGGUACGGAGACAGAGAGAAGAGGAGGAAGAGAUAAUGGAAAUAGGCGUAAAAACUGUCCUUUUUCCUUUAAAUCCCAAGAUAAUAAUUGGGAAUCAAAGGGUAGAAGGUUGUGUCCGCAACCUUAGUUGGAGAGGAACGUGUCCCUCUUUCCAAAACAGACAUUUUGCUCCACAGUUAAGCACAAGGAGAAGUUUCCAGAUUCUUCCUGCCACCUUUGCUGUAUUAUCAGGUGCCAAAGAUGCUGUUGAGAUUUCUCCUUCUGAGUUUGAGAACUUCUCUGUUACUGCUGAAUCUACCAAUGAAUCUGGAGAACUCAAGUUAAGCAUAGAGGUUUCCGGUACCACAACCCAAACAAUUUUUGAUGAAGUUUUUGACAAGAUGGUUGAGGAAGCCCAGCCAAUCCCAGGAUUUCGAAGAGUUAAAGGAGGAAAAACUCCAAAUAUACCCAAGAAUAUUCUAUUAGAAGUACUAGGACCUUCAAACGUCUUCAAGCAAGUCAUCGAGAGAGUAAUAAACUCUACUAUUGCUGAAUAUGUAGAAAAGGGAGAUCUAAAAGUCAGCAAGGACUUGAGAGUGGAGCAAAGCUUCGAAGAUCUUGAAGCCAUGUUUGAGGCAGGUGAAGAAUUCAGCUUUAGUGCAGUCCUGCGGCUUCAAGAAAUGAAUUGAACUGUCUGUAGAACUUAUACUAAGAAAACAAAAAGCUCCUAAAAGAGUUGGAAACAGGAAAAAGGAAAGAUGGAAGGGGAAACAAAAGUUACAAUAUGCCGUUGAGCGACCAUGCAUACGGCCUAUCCUCCCCUUUAACGUUCAAGCACCUUUUUGCAAGCUCAGCCACUUGUCUAAAUUGAGUCUCAUUUCCCUUUUCUGCUACAUGACUUUCUAGUAUUUCAAACAAUCGACCCUCCUUUAAGGAAAGUAGGAAAUAUUGAGCUAGACUUCUCUCUUCUUCUGUCCUAUCAAAUGACAGAACUCUUUGUCCAGUCAGUAGCUCCACAAGAACAACUCCAAAGCUAUAGACAUCACUUUUCUCAGUCAAUUGGUUGGUGUGCAAGUAUUCAGGGUCUAAGUAUCCAAGAGUUCCUUGCACCAUUGUUGCUACUCCAGUUUGAUCCAGUGGAACCAACCUUGAAGCUCCAAAGUCAGAAAUUUUUGCAGUGUAAUUAUCAAGAAGUAUAUUUGAGGGCUUGACAUCUCUAUGGAUGAUCGGUAUUGAAGCUGCAGAGUGUAGGUAAGAUAGCACUCCAGCUGUAUCAGCCGCUAUUUCAAGACGAAUUUCCCACAAUAACUAUGAUGCUUUCUCCUUGUCAUGAAUAUGCUCAAAAAGGGUUCCGUUUGGAAUGUAUUCAUAAACAAGUAAGGGAACUUCUGUCUCUAAACAACAGCCCAAGAGUUUGACCACAUUUCUAUGGUUAAUCUGGGAAAGAACAAUUACCUCAUUGAUAAAUUGUUCAAUUUGGCUUUGAUCCACAA